rnacentral:tRNA from 4 species
GGCAAGGUGGCCGAGUGGUUAUGGCGUUGGUUUUAGGUUCGAAAGAGCGUGGGUUCGAAUCCCAUCCUUGUCA